UACGGAGGGGGCGAGCGUUAUUCGGAAUCAUUGGGCGUAAAGAGCUCGUAGGCGGUUUGUUGCGUCGGCUGUGAAAUCCCGAGGCUCAACCUCGGGUCUGCAGUCGAUACGAGCAAACUAGAGUGUUGCAGGGGAGACUGGAAUUCCUGGUGUAGCGGUGAAAUGCGCAGAUAUCAGGAGGAACACCGGUGGCGAAGGCGGGUCUCUGGGCAACAACUGACGCUGAUGACGCGAAAGCUAGGGGGAGCAAACAGG
rnacentral:rRNA from 1 species